GCGGUCGUCGUCCAGUCUGGUCUAGGACAUCAAGCUCUUAAGCUGGUAACCCGGGUUCAAAUCCCGGCGACCGCA
rnacentral:tRNA from 1 species